rnacentral:misc_RNA from 1 species
GAUGAAGAACGCAGCGAAAUGCGAUAAGUAAUGUGAAUUGCAGAACUCAGUGAAUCAUCGAAUCUUUGAACGCACAUAGCGCCCCCUGGUAUUCCGGGGGGCAUGCCUGUCCGAGCGUCAUUGCUGCCCUCAAGCACGGCUUGUGUGUUGGGCCUCCGUCCUCCUCCCGGGGGACGGGCCCGAAAGGCAGCGGCGGCACCGCGUCCGGUCCUCGAGCGUAUGGGGCUUCGUCACCCGCUCUUGUAGGCCCGGCCGGCGCUUGCCGACACAUCAAUCUUUUUUCCAGGUUGACCUCGGAUCAGGUAGGGAUACCCGCUGAACUUAAGCAUAUCAAUAAGCGGAGGA